rnacentral:rRNA from 1 species
CUAAGGUAACGAUCCUACGGGAGGCAGCAGUGGGGAAUUUUGGACAAUGGGCGCAAGCCUGAUCCAGCCAUGCCGCGUGUCUGAAGAAGGCCUUCGGGUUGUAAAGGACUUUUGUCAGGGAAGAAAAGGCUGUUGCUAAUAUCGACAGCUGAUGACGGUACCUGAAGAAUAAGCACCGGCUAACUACGUGCCAGCAGCCGCGGUAAUAUCACCGG